GUGGGGAAUUUUGGACAAUGGGCGCAAGCCUGAUCCAGCAAUGCCGCGUGCAGGAAGAAGGCCUUCGGGUUGUAAACUGCUUUUGUACGGAACGAAACGGUCCUGGUUAAUACCUGGGGCUAAUGACGGUACCGUAAGAAUAAGCACCGGCUAACUACGUGCCAGCAGCCGCGGUAAUACGUAGGGUGCGAGCGUUAAUCGGAAUUACUGGGCGUAAAGCGUGCGCAGGCGGUGCUGUAAGACAGGCGUGAAAUCCCCGGGCUCAACCUGGGAAUUGCGCUUGUGACUGCAGUGCUGGAGGACGGCAGAGGGGGAUGGAAUUCCGCGUGUAGCAGUGAAAUGCGUAGAUAUGCGGAGGAACACCGAUGGCGAAGGCAGUCCCCUGGGCCUGUACUGACGCUCAUGCACGAAAGCGUGGGGAGCAAACAGGAUUAGAAACCCCGGUAGUCC
rnacentral:rRNA from 1 species